CACGUAGGGCGCAAGCGUUGUCCGGAAUUAUUGGGCGUAAAGAGCUCGUAGGCGGUCUGUCGCGUCUGCUGUGAAAACUCAGGGCUUAACCCUGAGCUUGCAGUGGGUACGGGCAGACUAGAGUGCGGUAGGGGAGACUGGAAUUCCUGGUGUAGCGGUGAAAUGCGCAGAUAUCGGGAGGAACACCGGUGGCGAAGGCGGUUCUCUGGGCCUUACCUGACGCUGAGGAGCGAAAGCAUGGGGAGCGAACAGG
rnacentral:rRNA from 1 species